AGUGAACGCUGGCGGUAGGCCUAACACAUGCAAGUCGAACGGCAGCACAGGAGAGCUUGCUCUCUGGGUGGCGAGUGGCGGACGGGUGAGGAAUACAUCGGAAUCUACUCUGUCGUGGGGGAUAACGUAGGGAAACUUACGCUAAUACCGCAUACGACCUACGGGUGAAAGCAGGGGAUCUUCGGACCUUACGCGAUUGAAUGAGCCGAUGUCGGAUUAGCUAGUUGGCGGGGUAAAGGCCCACCAAGGCGACGAUCCGUAGCUGGUCUGAGAGGAUGAUCAGCCACACUGGAACUGAGACACGGUCCAGACUCCUACGGGAGGCAGCAGUGGGGAAUAUUGGACAAUGGGCGCAAGCCUGAUUCUGCCAUACCGCGUGGGUGAAGAAGGCCUUCGGGUUGUAAAGCCCUUUUGUUGGGAAAGAAAUCCAGCUGGCUGAUACCCGGUUGGGAUGACGGUACCCAAAGAAUAAGCACCGGCUAACUUCGUGCCAGCCGCCGCUGUAA
rnacentral:rRNA from 1 species